GACGAACGCUGGCGGCGUGCUUAACACAUGCAAGUCGAACGGUAAGGCCCUUCGGGGUACACGAGUGGCGAACGGGUGAGUAACACGUGGGUGAUCUGCCCUGCACUUCGGGAUAAGCCUGGGAAACUGGGUCUAAUACCGGAUAGGACUCCUGGCUUCAUGGUUGGGGGUGGAAAGCGUUUGCGGUGUGGGAUGGGCCCGCGGCCUAUCAGCUUGUUGGUGGGGUAAUGGCCUACCAAGGCGACGACGGGUAGCCGGCCUGAGAGGGUGACCGGUCACACUGGGACUGAGAUACGACCCAGACUCCUACGGGAGGCAGCAGUGGGGAAUAUUGCACAAUGGGCGCAAGCCUGAUGCAGCGACGCCGCGUGAGGGAUGACGGCCUUCGGGUUGUAAACCUCUUUCAGCUAUGACGAAGCGCAAGUGACGGUAGUAGCAGAAGAAGGACCGGCCAACUACGUGCCAGCAGCCGCAGUAA
rnacentral:rRNA from 1 species